rnacentral:rRNA from 1 species
AGUGGCGGACGGGUGAGUAAUGCUUAGGAAUCUGCCCAGUAGCGGGGGACAACUCGGAGAAAUCCGAGCUAAUACCGCAUACGCCCUACGGGGGAAAGCAGGGGAUCUUCGGACCUUGCACUAUUGGAUGAGCCUAAGUCAGAUUAGCUUGUUGGUGGGGUAAUGGCCUACCAAGGCUACGAUCUGUAGCUGGUCUGAGAGGACGAUCAGCCACACUGGAACUGAGACACGGUCCAGACUCCUACGGGAGGCAGCAGUGGGGAAUAUUGCACAAUGGGCGCAAGCCUGAUGCAGCAAUGCCGCGUGUGUGAAGAAGGCCUGCGGGUUGUAAAGCACUUUCAGUAAGGAGGAAAAGUAUGUAGUUAAUACCUGCAUACCUUGACGUUACUUACAGAAGAAGCACCGGCUAACUCCGUGCCAGCAGCCGCGGUAAUACGGAGGGUGCGAGCGU